UUGAAGAGUUUGAUCAUGGCUCAGAUUGAACGCUGGCGGCAGGCCUAACACAUGCAAGUCGAACGGUAACAGGAAACAGCUUGCUGUUUCGCUGACGAGUGGCGGACGGGUGAGUAAUGUCUGGGAAACUGCCUGAUGGAGGGGGAUAACUACUGGAAACGGUAGCUAAUACCGCAUAACGUCGCAAGACCAAAGAGGGGGACCUUCGGGCCUCUUGCCAUCGGAUGUGCCCAGAUGGGAUUAGCUAGUAGGUGGGGUAACGGCUCACCUAGGCGACGAUCCCUAGCUGGUCUGAGAGGAUGACCAGCCACACUGGAACUGAGACACGGUCCAGACUCCUAUGGGAGGCAGCAGUGGGGAAUAUUGCACAAUGGGCGCAAGCCUGAUGCAGCCAUGCCGCGUGUAUGAAGAAGGCCUUCGGGUUGUAAAGUACUUUCAGCGGGGAGGAAGGGAGUAAAGUUAAUACCUUUGCUCAUUGACGUUACCCGCAGAAGAAGCACCGGCUAACUCCGUGCCAGCAGCCGCGGUAAUACGGAGGGUGCAAGCGUUAAUCGGAAUUACUGGGCGUAAAGCGCACGCAGGCGGUUUGUUAAGUCAGAUGUGAAAUCCCCGGGCUCAACCUGGGAACUGCAUCUGAUACUGGCAAGCUUGAGUCUCGUAGAGGGGGGUAGAAUUCCAGGUGUAGCGGUGAAAUGCGUAGAGAUCUGGAGGAAUACCGGUGGCGAAGGCGGCCCCCUGGACGAAGACUGACGCUCAGGUGCGAAAGCGUGGGGAGCAAACAGGAUUAGAUACCCUGGUAGUCCACGCCGUAAACGAUGUCGACUUGGAGGUUGUGCCCUUGAGGCGUGGCUUCCGGAGCUAACGCGUUAAGUCGACCGCCUGGGGAGUACGGCCGCAAGGUUAAAACUCAAAUGAAUUGACGGGGGCCCGCACAAGCGGUGGAGCAUGUGGUUUAAUUCGAUGCAACGCGAAGAACCUUACCUGGUCUUGACAUCCACGGAAGUUUUCAGAGAUGAGAAUGUGCCUUCGGGAACCGUGAGACAGGUGCUGCAUGGCUGUCGUCAGCUCGUGUUGUGAAAUGUUGGGUUAAGUCCCGCAACGAGCGCAACCCUUAUCCUUUGUUGCCAGCGGUCCGGCCGGGAACUCAAAGGAGACUGCCAGUGAUAAACUGGAGGAAGGUGGGGAUGACGUCAAGUCAUCAUGGCCCUUACGACCAGGGCUACACACGUGCUACAAUGGCGCAUACAAAGAGAAGCGACCUCGCGAGAGCAAGCGGACCUCAUAAAGUGCGUCGUAGUCCGGAUUGGAGUCUGCAACUCGACUCCAUGAAGUCGGAAUCGCUAGUAAUCGUGGAUCAGAAUGCCACGGUGAAUACGUUCCCGGGCCUUGUACACACCGCCCGUCACACCAUGGGAGUGGGUUGCAAAAGAAGUAGGUAGCUUAACCUUCGGGAGGGCGCUUACCACUUUGUGAUUCAUGACUGGGGUGAAGUCGUAACAAGGUAACCGUAGGGGAACCUGCGGUUGGAUCACCUCCUU
rnacentral:rRNA from 1 species